UUUGGAUACGAAUCUCCUGUUCUGAUAUAAUAAAUUGUAGGGAGCAGUUGGUCAGGUUGGGCGUGAGCACGAUGGAGGCAUCCACGGAUUCCAAUAUUUAAUGAAAGGAGCACGAAGACUCGUAUGGAUGCUUCAAGAUCCGCUGUGAUUCGCACUGCGACACGUCGCUGCAAUCCUGGCAGCGAACCAAACCUCGACUUCGUCUGCUGCAAUCAUGGCAGGAGAAGCAGCGAGACCAGUCUGGUACGGACGUUACGCGCCGACUUCGCCGUAUUACAUAUGCUGCUCGUUCAAACUUUGUUAGGGAAGAAGACUCCACCAAACCGCGUCCGGACAAGCGCCACCAACUCUUGGGAAAGCGAAGGGAAGAGGCCAUACGAUACAUAAAUGGUGCCAAAUUGGGCGGCACUAACUACCGGUCUAAGCAUCCGAGUCGAGAGGGACUCGGGGCGGUUUAUCUGUUUGGGGUUUAGAAUGGUGGGCAGGGCAGGGCAGCGCAGGGCCGGCAGUCUUCCACUUUGUUAGCUGGCGACACAAAGAACCUUCUUCGGUAACACUACUGCUCGUAUGAUCGCGCUUCUUAUUUGAUUUCUGAUGGGGGCUUGUUUUCUAUGUCAGGCUUUGGGAUAGCGAGCAUCGGGACUCUCUCUCUCUCUCUCUCUAUAUAUAUAUAUAGCAAAUCAGGUGUUGAUUCGGAGGAA